CGCCUCACCCCACUCACGGUAUAGAAAGUGGAUUCUCUGACUUCUACCAUAGGAAAGAAUUGCGGAAUAUGUCAGUGAGAGGCAUGAAAAAAAUGUAUUAGGCAGAAUUAAAGAAGUGCACACUCAGAGAAAAUAGAAGGGACCCCUCAGGAAGAGGCACAUUACUGUCAGGAUGAGAGCUUUUAUAUGGUCAUGGGGGUGUUUUCAAGACGAAUGAUGUAGGUUGUGGAUUCCUACUGUCAGAUUACCCACAUAGUGAGCUAGGUUAGAAUGCAAACCACUUGUGCGUGCUUGAAGUUUAGAGGUCUGCUGCUCACUUAAUAGUGCUGUUUCCUUUAGGAUGGAAGUCUGUGAGGGGGAGAGACAAGACCUUAGUCCUUGUGGCUUUUGCUGCUGUGUGGGAGCCAUGAACUGUUUCUCCUCUGUGCCGCCCCUCUGCCACGGUACCACCCUGCCUCAGAGCCAGCUGAUUAUGAACUGAAGCCCACUGGAAACGAUCCUUUCUACUGAAGACAUACAGCAUAAGAUCAACAGGACUGAGUUUUUUUCUUCCAAUGAGAGGAUUGUAUUCUCUUGGGACUCAAGAGCAAAAACAGAGACAUCCAUCUUCAACAAAUAUACAAGAUAACACCUACCGAUAUACCAAUUACAAAUCUGUGAUGCUCUCCGCGACUGGAAUUCCACUUAACUACCAAUUCCCAAGAAGCCCGAUUCAUUUGCUAAAGGAGAUGAAGCAAACCACAGUCAUUAUUACAGGGAACGUAUCGCAUUUUCGCCCUUUGAGGCAAUUCUAAGAGGGCUACUUCACCUUACGUCUUCAAUCACAUGACGGUGAGAAAACCCUAUAACUGAGAGGGUAAGAGUUUACCAUGGUACGCAUGAAAUAGAACAAAACAGUUGGGCUUCUACAGCGUUUUACGGAAAACCUCUUCUGACCCUUUUAUGAACAAUUCCUUUGGUGAAGUCCCCAUUUUAUGUUGGCUUGCUCUGUCAUCAGUGUGGAGUUAUGGCUGGAAUAAAUUCUUGUUGAGGCCUUUGAGGUUGGCAUGGGAAUGUCUUUCUUUCUGAGGUCUUAUAAUUGAUGUGUCUAAUUUGUCAAGUGUGGGACAUAGCCUAUGCUUUAUUCACAGACCUCUACAGAAGUUAAUUGUCAACUGUCACCUUCGAAAUCUGGCACCAGAAUCUGAUAUUUAAAUCAUUUGAUGAAGAACUAGUCAGGAAAGCUUUGUAAUUUUUCUAGUAAAUAUAUUGACAUUAUUAAGAUAAAAAUUAUUUUAAAAGGAUUUUAAGUUUUUCAGAAAACUUAUUUAUUUUUCAUUGCAUGGUUUGGGAUGUAUCUUAGGUUUUUAAUGCAUUUGAAUUUUAGAGAAGGG
rnacentral:lncRNA from 1 species